rnacentral:lncRNA from 1 species
GGAGAUGGUGUUGGAUCAUUAUGUUCAAUGGGUUUGAUCAACCUCCAUAAUGAUUUUAGAUAUAAAAGAGAUUUUAGAAUUCAAACAAAGAAAAUCAUUAUGCAGAUGAAAAUAUUGAUUUUAUUCUAUUUUUAGGGCUUUAUGUGAUCACCAAUUUCAUGCAAAAAGCAAAAAGUGAAAAUAAUUUGGAAAAACAAAC